rnacentral:lncRNA from 1 species
GGAGAAUUUUCUUGAUUAAAGACUGAUGGGGGAGGGCCCAGUCCACUGUGUGUGGUGACACCCAGGGCAGGUGGUACUGGGUUGUAGAAGAAAGCAGGCUGAAGAAGCUGUGGGGAGCAACAGUAAGCAGCUCUCCUCCGUGGUCUCUGCUUCAGUUCCUGCCCUGACUUCCCUUCAUGACGGACUAUAAGCUCAGGUAAGAGCCAAGAAGAGCGUCUGUGAUCCGGGAGCAUCCACCUGGUAAUGGAGUGAUGACGUCAUGGAGUCCAGCAUAUUCACUGUCAACUACCGCAUCUGGGUGGUGGGUAGGAAAAUCCACCUUUAAUGUGGACUACACCCUUUGCUGGAGG